ACUCCCAUGUUCCAUCACCCAGAAAAGUGGGUCCUUAGUUAGAAAACUCAAGCUGGGGAUUUCUCUCUCUCUCUUUGGGUCUCAUUUACUUAUAUCAGGACUUCAAGGCAUAGCCACACCUCAUGACUGUAAUGCAUAAAGGCCAGGAGUUAUUAGGAUGUAGGGAUGGUAGGGCUUGCCACAAAAUCCAUAGGUCAAUUGAUAUCUCAGUCUAUUUGUGCUGUUAAAACAAAAUCCUUAGACUGUCUGAUCUAGGAAUAGAGUAACUUUAAUGAUCAUAGUCACGGAGGCUGAGAACUCCGAGAUCAAGACAGUAGCAGGUGUCUGCUCAGAGCCCAGUCUUUGCUUUCAGGGAGAUGCUUUUAGCACAGCACGCUCUGCACAGGAUGAAUGCGUUUGGAUCCUCACAGGGUGGGAGACAGGAGGGCAAAAAGGCCUUGCCAUAUUUCCUGCUAGCUCUUUCAGAAGGCCCUCUGAAAACCUCCACAUGGGAUAUAUUAAACUACAACAUGAAUUUGAGGAAGGACACAAACAUUUUAAUCAUAAACAUUGGAACGGUUCUCAUGAAUCAUAGUUUUAAAAGCAAGCUGACUUCAUACGCAUUAGAAAAUUCUCUUGAAGUCUGAGAGGUGGCAUUGCUCUUCCCUUUGAGGCAGGGGUGGCUUUUCUCUAGCACUCACGUCCACACCCCUUUUCCUCUGGUUCUUCUGC
rnacentral:lncRNA from 1 species